rnacentral:rRNA from 1 species
UGGCUCAGGACGAACGCUGGCGGCGUGCUUAACACAUGCAAGUUGAACGGUAUGACAUGGAAGCUUGCUGAAGUGUCAGUAUAGUAGCGGACGGGUGAGUAAUGCAUGAGAAGCUGCCAUUGGGAGGGGGACAACAGUUGGAAACGGCUGCUAAUACCCCGUAUGCCGGAGGGUGAAAGGGAGUAAUCCGCCCGAUGAGGUGCUCAUGUCCUAUCAGCUGGUUGGUGGGGUAACGGCCUACCAAGGCGACGACGGGUAGCCGGCCUGAGGGGGUGAACGGCCACACUGGAACUGAGAUACGGUCCAGACUCCGUACGGGAGGCAGCAGUGGGGAAUAUUUGGGGCAAUGGGGGCAACCCUGACCCAGCGACGCCGCGUGGGGGAAGACGGCCUUCGGGUUGUAAACCUCUUUUGUACGGGAAGAAGGAAGUGACGGUUACUGUACGAAUAAGUCCCGGCUAACUACGUGCCAGCCGCAGC